UUAGGAAACUAGGGGUGCUUCCAGUCUGGAAGAAUCUGGAGACAGGUGCUGCAUGGCUGUCGUCAGCUCGUGUCGUGAGAUGUUGGGUUAAGUCCCGCAACGAGCGCAACCCUUGCCUUUAGUUGCCAGCAGUUCGGCUGGGCACUCUAAAGGGACUGCCGGUGUUAAACCGGAGGAAGGUGGGGAUGACGUCAAGUCCUCAUGGCCUUUAUGACCAGGGCUACACACGUACUACAAUGGCCGAUACAAAGGGCAGCGACACUGCGAGGUGAAGCCAAUCCCGUAAAAUCGGUCUCAGUCCGGAUUGGAGUCUGCAACUCGACUCCAUGAAGUUGGAAUCGCUAGUAAUCGUGGAUCAGCAUGCCACGGUGAAUACGUUCCCGGGCCUU
rnacentral:rRNA from 1 species